rnacentral:rRNA from 1 species
CUUGACUCUAGUCUGGCACUGUAAGGAGACAUGAGAGGUGUAGCAUAAGUGGGAGCUACGCCGGCCCUCGGGCUGGCGCCGUCGACGGUGAAAUACCACUACUUUGAUAGUUUCUUUACUUACUCGGUGAGGCGGAGGGCGUGCGCAGUCGUCGAUUCGUCGCGGCUGCGUCACGGUAUUCUGGAUCCAAGGGAGUUGCGGUCGCGGGCGCCACUGGGACGCGGGCGCACGGGGAUCGGCCGUCCGGGCCGGGGGGAAACCUUCGGCCCGCGGCUCGCCGCCCCCCGUGCGCUCCGUCCCUAGCUCGUGUUUAUCCCUCCCGAUCCGAUUCGAGGACACCGCCMGGCGGGGAGUUUGACUGGGGCGGUACAUCUGUCARAGAAUAACGCAGGUGUCCUAAGGCUAGCUCAGCGAGGACAGAAACCUCGCGUGGAGCAAAAGGGCAAAUGCUGGCUUGAUCCCGAUGCUCAGUACGCAUAGAGACUGCGAAAGCACGGCCUAUCGAUCCUUUUGGCUUGGGGAGUUUCCAGCAAGAGGUGUCAGAAAAGUUACCACAGGGA